rnacentral:rRNA from 1 species
UACGUAGGCGGAAAAUUAAGUCAGUAGUGAAAUCCUGCAGCUUAACUGUAGAACUGUUAUUGAUACUGGUUUUCUUGAAUAUAGUUGAAGUAGGCGGAAUGUGUAAUGUAGCGGUGAAAUGCUUAGAUAUUACACAGAACACCGAUUGCGAAGACAGCUUACUAAGCUAUGAUUGACGCUGAGGUACGAAAGCGUGGGGAGCGAACAGGAUUAGAUACCCUGGUAGUCC